rnacentral:rRNA from 1 species
AUACGUAGGGGGCGAGCGUUGUCCGGAAUGAUUGGGCGUAAAGGGCGCGUAGGCGGCCCGGUAAGUCUGGAGUGAAAGUCCUGUUUUUAAGAUGGGAAUUGCUUUGGAUACUGUCGGGCUUGAGUGCAGGAGAGGUAAGUGGAAUUUCCAGUGUAGCGGUGAAAUGCGUAGAGAUUGGGAGGAACACCAGUGGCGAAGGCGACUUACUGGACUGUAACUGACGCUGAGGCGCGAAAGUGUGGGGAGCAAACAGGAUUAGAUACCCUGGUAGUCCACACUGUAAACGAUGAAUGCUAGGUGUAGGGGGUAUCGACCCCUUCUGUGCCGCAGUCAACACAAUAAGCAUUCCGCCUGGGGAGUACGGCCGCAAGGUUGAAACUUAAAGGAAUUGACGGGG